AGAGUUUGAUCAUGGCUCAGAAUGAACGUUGGCGGCGUGGAUUAGGCAUGCAAGUCGAGCGAGAACCCGCAAGGGGGACAGCGGCGAACGGGUAGGACAAUCUAGGUAACGUACCCUCGGGGGCGAGGACAGCCACGGGAAACUGUGGGUAAUACUCGAUAAACUUCCCAAUCAUUAUGGAAGGGGAAGCAAUGGGUGUGAUUCCACCUGAGGAGCGGCUUAGACAGUAUCAGCUAGUUGGUGAGGUAACGGCUCACCAAGGCUACGACGCUUAGGGGGUGUGAGAGCAUGGCCCCCACCACUGGCACUGAGACACUGGCCAGACACCUACGGGUGGCUGCAGUCGAGAAUCUUCGGCAAUGGACGCAAGUCUGACCGAGCGACGCCGCGUGCGGGAUGAAGGUCUUCGGAUUGUAAACCGCUGUCAGAGGGGAUGAAGUGUACGGGAGUUAUCUCCUGUAUUUGACAGAGCCUCAGAGGAAGCACGGGCUAAGUUCGUG
rnacentral:rRNA from 1 species